UUGAAAAACCAAAAUAAAAUAAAAUAAAAUUAGAAUGAUACAGAGAUUAGCAUGGCCCCUGCACAAGGAUGACACCCAAAUUCGUGAAGUGUUCCAUAUUUUU